rnacentral:rRNA from 1 species
UACAGAGGCCCCAAGCGUUACUGAGAAUCACUGGGUUUAAAGGGUGCGUAGGUGGCGCGUUAAGUCCGUUGUGAAAUCCCUGGGCUCAACCCAGGAAUUGCUUCGGAUACUGGCGUGCUUGAGGCUAGUAGGGUCACUGGAACUGACGGUGGAGCGGUGAAAUGCGUAGAUAUCGUCAGGAACGCCGAUGGUGAAGACAGGUGACUGGGCUAGUUACUGACACUGAGGCACGAAAGCGUGGGGAGCGAACGGG